AGAGAGCUGUCGUCAAACCACCGAUGCGGCAAGCAAUCUGGCUGUACAACUUGGAAUAUUGGAGUUGGGGUGCGGGAGAGCUGUCGUCAAACCACCGAUGCGGCAAGCAAUCUGGCUGUACAACUUGGAAUAUUGGAGUUGGGGUGCGGGGUAAGUAAUUAAUUAAUUAUAUUAUAUUAUUUUAACGUAAAUAAGUAUAAUAUGUACGUUA